rfam:Nomascus leucogenys chromosome 17, whole genome shotgun sequence.
GCUGGGCGUGGUGGCUCACGCCUGUAAUCCCAGCACUUUGGGAGGCUGAGGCAGGUGGAUCACCUGAGGUCAGGAGUUCAAGACCAGCCUGGCCAACAUGGUCAGACCCCGUCUCUA